UUCCAUGGUGAGGGCAAUCGGAAAUGUAUCCUUGAAAACGCUCCCAUGCUUCUGAAAUUGCUUCCGUCUUCUGUUGUUGGAAACUGACAAUAUUUCCUCUUAAGGCA
rfam:Sorghum bicolor cultivar BTx623 chromosome 4, whole genome shotgun sequence.